rnacentral:rRNA from 1 species
CCUACGGGAGGCAGCAGUGGGGAAUAUUGCACAAUGGGGGAAACCCUGAUGCAGCGACGCCGCGUGAGUGAAGAAGUAUCUCGGUAUGUAAAGCCCUAUCAGCAGGGAAGAAGAAAGACGGUACCUGACUAAGAAGCCCCGGCUAACUACGUGCCAGCAGCCGCGGUAAUACGUAGGGGGCAAGCGUUAUCCGGAUUUACUGGGUGUAAAGGGAGCGUAGACGGCUGUGCAAGGCUGAAGUGAAAGCCCAGGGCUCAACCCUGGGACUGCUUUGGAAACUGUGAGGCUAGAGUGCUGGAGAGGUAGGUGGAAUUCCUAGUGUAGCGGUGAAAUGCGUAGAUAUUAGGAGGAACACCGGUGGCGAAGGCGGCUUGCUGGACAGUAACUGACGUUGAGGCUCGAAAGCGUGGGGAGCAAACAGGAUUAGAUACCCCUGUAGUC